rnacentral:rRNA from 1 species
CACGUGUGCAACCAACCCCGUACCGGGAGAUAACCCGCGGAAACGUGGACUAACACCCCAUAACACCUUUCCCCCGCAUGGGGGAGAGUUUAAAAUCACGAUGGUACGGGACGGGCACGCGCGACAUUAGGUAGUUGGCGGGGUAACGGCCCGCCAAGCCGACGAUGUCUAGGGGUUCUGAGAGGAAGGUCCCCCACACUGGAACUGAGACACGGUCCAGACUCCUACGGGAGGCAGCAGUGAGGAAUAUUGGUCAAUGGGCGAGAGCCUGAACCAGCCAAGUCGCGUGAGGGAAGAAUGGUCUAUGGCCUGUAAACCUCUUUUGUCAAGGAAGAAUAAGCGGCACGAGUGCCACCUUGCCAGUACUUGACGAAUAAGCAUCGGCUAACUCCGUGCCAGCAGCCGCGGUAAUACGGGGGAUGCGAGCGUUAUCCGGAUUUAUUGGGUUUAAAGGGCGCGUAGGCGGGACGUCAAGUCAGCGGUAAAAGACUGCAGCUAAACUGUAGCACGCCGUUGAAACUGUCGACCUGGAGACGAGACGAGGGAGGCGGAACAAGUGAAGUAGCGGUGAAAUGCAUAGAUAUCACUUGGAACCCCGAUAGCGAAGGCAGCUUCCCAGGCUUGAUCUGACGCUGAUGCGCGAGAGCGUGGGUAGCGAACAGGAUUAGAUACCCUGGUAGUCCACGCCGUAAACGAUGCUCACUGGAUCUUGGCGAUACACGGCCAGGGUUCAAGCGAAAGUAUUAAGUGAGCCACCUGGGGAGUACGUCGGCAACGAUGAAACUCAAAGGAAUUGACGGGGGCCCGCACAAGCGGAGGAACAUGUGGUUUAAUUCGAUGAUACGCGAGGAACCUUACCCGGGUUUAAAUGCAGGUUGCAUGAGGUGGAAACACCUCUUUCCCUCGGGACUACCUGCAAGGUGCUGCAUGGUUGUCGUCAGCUCGUGCCGUGAGGUGUCGGGUUAAGUCCCAUAACGAGCGCAACCCCUAUCGCCAGUUGCCAUCGGUUCAAGCCGGGCACUCUGUCGAGACUGCCACCGUAAGGUGCGAGGAAGGCGGGGAUGACGUCAAAUCAGCACGGCCCUUACACCCGGGGCGACACACGUGUUACAAUGGCCGGUACAGAGGGCAGCCACGGGGCGACCCGGAGCGAAUCUCUAAAGCCGGUCGUAGUUCGGACUGGAGUCUGCAACCCGACUCCACGAAGUUGGAUUCGCUAGUAAUCGCGCAUCAG